GACGAACGCUGGCGGCGUGCUUAACACAUGCAAGUCGAACGGAAAGGCCCUUCGGGGUACUCGAGUGGCGAACGGGUGAGUAACACGUGGGUGAUCUGCCCUGCACUUUGGGAUAAGCCUGGGAAACUGGGUCUAAUACCGAAUAGGACCGCGCGCUUCAUGGUGUGCGGUGGAAAGCUUUUGCGGUGUGGGAUGGGCCCGCGGCCUAUCAGCUUGUUGGUGGGGUAAUGGCCUACCAAGGCGACGACGGGUAGCCGGCCUGAGAGGGUGACCGGCCACACUGGGACUGAGAUACGGCCCAGACUCCUACGGGAGGCAGCAGUGGGGAAUAUUGCACAAUGGGCGCAAGCCUGAUGCAGCGACGCCGCGUGAGGGAUGACGGCCUUCGGGUUGUAAACCUCUUUCACCAGGGACGAAGCGCAAGUGACGGUACCUGGAGAAGAAGCACCGGCCAACUACGUG
rnacentral:rRNA from 1 species